rnacentral:rRNA from 1 species
GACGGAGGUGGCAAGCGUUGCUCGGAAUCACUGGGCGUAAAGGGUGCGUAGGCGGGUCUCGCAAGUCUGGCGUGAAAGCCCAAAGGCUCAGCCUUGGAAGUGCGCUCGAAACGGACGAGGCUGGAGUGCCGGAGGGGAGAGUGGAAUUCCCGGUGUAAGCGGUGAAAUGCGUAGAGAUCGGGAGGAAUACCGGUGGCGAAAGCGACUCUCUGGACGGCAACUGACGCUGAGGCACGAAAAGCGUGGGGAGCAAACAGG